UACGUAGGUGGCAAGCGUUAUCCGGAUUUACUGGGUGUAAAGGGUGUGUAGGCGGGUCGGCAAGUCGGAUGUGAAAAUUAUGGGCUCAACUCAUAACCUGCGUCCGAAACUGUCGAUCUUGAGAGUCGGAGAGGUAAGCGGAAUUCCCGGUGUAGCGGUGAAAUGCGUAGAUAUCGGGAGGAACAUCAGUGGCGAAGGCGGCUUACUGGACGACAACUGACGCUGAGACACGAAAGCGUGGGGAG
rnacentral:rRNA from 1 species